rnacentral:lncRNA from 1 species
UCAAAGUUAGGGAUUGACCAUGUUGACCUUUCAAACUCGGUGAAUAUCACAUCUGGUGAUUUUGAAAGUACCGAAACUGUCAAUCUGUAGGAUGAUACCCCGAUAUCACUGAUUGGUUCAAGCACUGGAUCAUUAUCUGCUGCUGCAAAAAAUGCUGAAAACAUAAGGGUACAUUCCGAGCUGAAGCGUAAUCUUGCGGAAUCAUAUGAUCAUGACGAAUCAGCAACAAAAGCUCCUUUAGCUUGCAAUGAAGCAAAGAGAAGCGCAAGACGAGAAAAUAUACUACUUACUCGAAGGAUUCUAUAUCAGUCACCACUGAUUAUCAGACCCCAGUUUCACUGAUGGAUACAAGG